ACAGAUUUAGGAGCAUAGUAUCUAAAUAAACAUUUAACAUUUAUUUAAAUUAAAUAAGCAUUAUCAUUAUGCAUUGUCACUCUAUUGUGCAAUGCAACAACAGAACUUUCAUCCCCAAUGUGUAGUGUAGGAUUUUACUAUCACUUGUACCAUUUACAUUUCCGUAUCCUCUCUUACCAUAGUCUCUUCAGAUUCUGGUAACUAUCCAAACACCCCGACUUCUGAGAUCAGCUUUAUUAUAUUUCACAUAUGAGUAGAAUUUUGUGACUUAUUUUUCUGUUCCUACCAUGCUACCUAGAUCCUCCUAGUAACAGGUGUGUUUCCUAAUAGGGCUUCAGACUCUGACAGCUCCCACGUACCUCCCCAUGAUGGCCCCUGGAGUAUGCUGGGAAAACUGGGAAGCACUUGCUGCAACUCUGAUGGAAGUCUCAUUCAAGAGGAAGCUCAUUCAUCACAGGAGGACACAGGUGACUGCAACCUGCUUUCUUCAUUUCCUGCUGAGUUGGGGACAGUCCCUGCAAGAUGAGCAAAAAGAAGAGGGUAAGCCAUCUUGACUAAGAUACCUCAGCUGCAGUGAAGAACCCAACACUUCAUUGUCCAAGCACUUAAGCCCAAGUACUUGAGUCCCCAGUGUAGACCACUCCACUCACAUAGUAAGUGACAUAUCAAAUAGUCCUUGCCCCCAACUCAUCUGUAUCCCCAGCACUGAUCCCUAAACUCUCAGGAAAGGAUUCCCUCUUGUUGACUAAGUCACUCCCAUCAGUGACAAAUAUUUGUCAAAAUGAGAAAUAAAUUGACAAAUUUUCUCAUCA